rnacentral:tRNA from 1 species
CAAAUUAGAGCUUGUAAAAUUUAAGUAUUUCAUUUACAUUGGAAAGAAAUUAUUAAUUUAAUUAAUUUGA